rnacentral:ncRNA from 1 species
AAAAGUUUGAUUCUUGCUUUAAAAUUAGUAAUAUAUUAAAUUUACAUGUUUAAUUUUUAAUAUUUAUUUUUCAGUAACUAGUUUUAUUAUAUAUAUUAAUAUUUAUUUAGUUUUUUAUUAUUUAGGGAGAUUAAUUUUGUGCCAGCAUUCGCGGUUAUACAAUUUACUUAAAUUAAUUUUUUAAGGAUAAAAAUAAUUUUAAAAUUAUAAUUUUUUUUUAUUAUAUUUAGGUGGAAUUUAUAUAAUAACUACUUUUUUUUGCAAUUGUUUGAAAUUUAAAUUUUAAACUAGGAUUAGAUACCCUAUUAUUAUUUUAUUUAAAAUUUUUAUUCUGAAUACUAAUAGUUAUUUUCUUUAAACUCAAAGAAUUUGGCGGUAAUCAAUCUUUUUAGAGGAACCUGAUUUAUAAUUGAUAAACCACGAUAGAUUCUACCUUUAUUGUUAUUUGUAUAUCUCUAUACUAAGGAAAAUCUUAUUAGAGUAUAAUUUUCUUUUUCUUUUUAGAUUUAUGUUAGGUCAAGGUGCAGUUUUAAUAAGGAAAAAUUGGGUUACAAAAAAAAUUAAUUUUUAUAAUGUUUAUUAAUUAUUGUAUAACUUAUAUUGGAUUUAAUAGUAAUUUAAAUUAAUUAAUUUAAAUGGAUAUAGCUCUAGAUUAUGUACAUAUCGCCCGUCACUCUCAAUGAUAUGGGAUAAGUCGUAACAAAGUAGUUGUACCGGAAGGUGUAGCUAGAAUGAA